rnacentral:rRNA from 1 species
UACGUAGGGGGCUAGCGUUGUCCGGAAUCAUUGGGCGUAAAGCGCGUGUAGGCGGUCCGGUAAGUCCGCUGUGAAAGUCGGGGGCUCAACCCUCGAAAGCCGGUGGAUACUGUCGGGCUCGAGUACGGAAGAGGCGAGUGGAAUUCCUGGUGUAGCGGUGAAAUGCGCAGAUAUCAGGAGGAACACCAAUUGCGAAGGCAGCUCGCUGGGACGUUACUGACGCUGAGACGCGAAAGCGUGGGGAGCAAACAGG